rnacentral:rRNA from 1 species
CUACGUGCCAGCAGCCGCGGUAAUACGGAAGGUCCUGGUGUUAUCCGGAUUUAUUGGGUUUAAAGGGAGCGUAGGCCGUAGAUUAAGUGUGUUGUGAAAUGUAGGCGCCCAACGUCUGCCUUGCAGCGCAAACUGGUUUACUUGAGUACGCACAACGUUGGCGGAAUUCGUCGUGUAGCGGUGAAAUGCUUAGAUAUGACGAAGAACUCCGAUUGCGAAGGCAGCUGACGGGAGCGCAACUGACGCUGAAGCUCGAAGGUGCGGGUAUCGAACAGGAUUAGAUACCCUGGUAGUCCGCACAGUAAACGAUGGAUGCCCGCUGUUGGUACCUAGUAUCAGCGGCUAAGCGAAAGCAUUAAGCAUCCCACCUGGGGAGUACGCCGGCAACGGUGAAACUCAAAGGAAUUGACGGGGGCCCGCACAAGCGGAGGAACAUGUGGUUUAAUUCGAUGAUACGCGAGGAACCUUACCCGGGCUUGAA